GAAAUAGAUCGAAGAGGGCGAGAAUCUUCAAUCCACCGAAAUCCCCCAGCCCUUGCGUCCGCUUCGCGCCGCCUUCAAGUUGCCGCCGCUGGCAAAUCCAGCCGGAGGUGGUCGCCCCCGCCGGCAUCGAACAAGGGCAGCGGCCCGCGGUGCCGGCAGCCCCAGCGCCGUCGCCCUCGCCCCGAUUCGCCGACCCCUGCGCCCCAGCGCCGUACCGCUGUCCGCCCGUUCCUGCUUCUCCGGUGACCGGCCUCUUGCUUCUCCGCCGACCGGCGCCCCAGGGACCAGCAGCCGAAGCGCUCAGCCCUUCCUCCGCGGCUCCGCUUGAUCCCUGCCAGCGCCUCCCCUCCACACUGUUGCUCCGGCUUGUGUCCGGCGGCGGCGGCCACCAGCCCACCACCCAGGUGGCUAGGACCGACGCCGUGGCCCUCUCUGUUCUCCCGUUCCACUUUGCACCCUCUCGGCCCCUGCGUGGAACUGCCCAAGGUACGCCUUUGUAUUUUUUUUUCUUGACUUUGUUGAAUCUAGUUUUUUAGUGCAUGCAGACUUGUUGCUUUGGUUUUUUUAUGCUUGAUUAGAUGGAUAGAAGUUGGGUGAAUGGUAGAUUAUUUUCCCGUGAAUACAUCAAUGGUGUCAAAGAAUUUAUGGGCUUCAUUCAAGGGAAAUUCAGAGAGGAUGAUGAAAUAUUGUGUCCAUGUAGUAGAUGCCUUAAUCAGAAGUACCUUAAUUUGAGAAAAGAAAAAAACAUAGAAUUGCAAGAGAGUGAUGGUGAAGAUGUGGAAGAUGACACAAUUUUAGAGUACUGCGAUGAAGGUGAAGGAGGUGCCAUAAAUGAGGUAGACAGUGAUGAUGAAUAGCCCUGGACUUGUUAUGGCAAGGAAGCUGCAGAUGGUGGUGGAUGUCGUUGCAGCUAAAAUGUGAUAUGACAAAGAAGGCAAAAAGUGAAUGCUAUUUUAUUCAAUCAAUCUUUUGUAACCUGCGAGGAUGCAUGAACUUGUGAGGAUGCUUGCUGUUGACCUAUGAUGGCGCAUGAACCAUUUCAAAUCUGGAUGCUUGCUAUUUUUGUGUAAUCUGUAUGCUUGUUGACAUAUGAUGGUCCAUGAACCAAUUUAAAUAUUGAUGCUUCCUAUUUAUAUGUAAUCUGGAUGCUUGCUGUUGA